rnacentral:rRNA from 1 species
GGGCGCACGGUGGAUGCCUUGACACUAGGAGUCGAUGAAGGACGGGACUAACGCCGAUAUGCUUCGGGGAGCUGUAAGUAAGCUUUGAUCCGAAGAUUUCCGAAUGGGGAAACCCACCAUACGUAAUGGUAUGGUAUCCUUAUCUGAAUACAUAGGGUAAGGAAGACAGACCCAGGGAACUGAAACAUCUAAGUACCUGGAGGAAGAGAAAGCAAAUGCGAUUUCCUGAGUAGCGGCGAGCGAAACGGAACAUAGCCCAAACCAAGAGGCUUGCCUCUUGGGGUUGUAGGACAUUCUAUACGGAGUUACAAAGGAACGAGGUAGACGAAGCGACCUGGAAAGGUCCGUCGUAGAGGGUAACAACCCCGUAGUCGAAACUUCGUUCUCUCUUGAAUGUAUCCUGAGUACGGCGGAACACGUGAAAUUCCGUCGGAAUCUGGGAGGACCAUCUCCUAAGGCUAAAUACUCCCUAGUGAUCGAUAGUGAACCAGUACCGUGAGGGAAAGGUGAAAAGCACCCCGGAAGGGGAGUGAAAGAGAUCCUGAAACCGUGUGCCUACAAAUAGUCAGAGCCCGUUAACGGGUGAUGGCGUGCCUUUUGUAGAAUGAACCGGCGAGUUACGAUCCCGUGCGAGGUUAAGCUGAAGAGGCGGAGCCGCAGCGAAAGCGAGUCUGAAUAGGGCGUUUAGUACGUGGUCGUAGACCCGAAACCAGGUGAUCUACCCAUGUCCAGGGUGAAGUUCAGGUAACACUGAAUGGAGGCCCGAACCCACGCACGUUGAAAAGUGCGGGGAUGAGGUGUGGGUAGCGGAGAAAUUCCAAUCGAACCUGGAGAUAGCUGGUUCUCCCCGAAAUAGCUUUAGGGCUAGCCUUAAGUGUAAGAGUCUUGGAGGUAGAGCACUGAUUGGACUAGGGGUCCUCAUCGGAUUACCGAAUUCAGUCAAACUCCGAAUGCCAAUGACUUAUCCUUAGGAGUCAGACUGCGAGUGAUAAGAUCCGUAGUCAAAAGGGAAACAGCCCAGACCGCCAGCUAAGGUCCCAAAGUGUGUAUUAAGUGGAAAAGGAUGUGGAGUUGCUUAGACAACUAGGAUGUUGGCUUAGAAGCAGCCACCAUUUAAAGAGUGCGUAAUAGCUCACUAGUCGAGUGACUCUGCGCCGAAAAUGUACCGGGGCUAAAUACACCACCGAAGCUGCGGAUUGAUACCAAUGGUAUCAGUGGUAGGGGAGCGUUCUAAGGACAGUGAAGUCAGACCGGAAGGACUGGUGGAGUGCUUAGAAGUGAGAAUGCCGGUAUGAGUAGCGAAAGACGGGUGAGAAUCCCGUCCACCGAAUGCCUAAGGUUUCCUGAGGAAGGCUCGUCCGCUCAGGGUUAGUCAGGACCUAAGCCGAGGCCGACAGGCGUAGGCGAUGGACAACAGGUUGAUAUUCCUGUACCACCUCUUUAUCGUUUGAGCAAUGGAGGGACGCAGAAGGAUAGAAGAAGCGUGCGAUUGGUUGUGCACGUCCAAGCAGUUAGGCUGAUAAGUAGGCAAAUCCGCUUAUCGUGAAGGCUGAGCUGUGAUGGGGAAGCUCCUUAUGGAGCGAAGUCUUUGAUUCCCCGCUGCCAAGAAAAGCUUCUAGCGAGAUAAAAGGUGCCUGUACCGCAAACCGACACAGGUAGGCGAGGAGAGAAUCCUAAGGUGUGCGAGAGAACUCUGGUUAAGGAACUCGGCAAAAUGACCCCGUAACUUCGGGAGAAGGGGUGCUUUCUUAACGGAAAGCCGCAGUGAAUAGGCCCAAGCGACUGUUUAGCAAAAACACAGCUCUCUGCGAAGCCGUAAGGCGAAGUAUAGGGGGUGACACCUGCCCGGUGCUGGAAGGUUAAGGAGAGGGGUUAGCGUAAGCGAAGCUCUGAACUGAAGCCCCAGUAAACGGCGGCCGUAACUAUAACGGUCCUAAGGUAGCGAAAUUCCUUGUCGGGUAAGUUCCGACCCGCACGAAAGGUGUAACGAUUUGGGCACUGUCUCAACCAGAGACUCGGUGAAAUUAUAGUACCUGUGAAGAUGCAGGUUACCCGCGACAGGACGGAAAGACCCCGUGGAGCUUUACUGUAGCCUGAUAUUGAAUUUUGGUACAGUUUGUACAGGAUAGGCGGGAGCCUUUGAAACCGGAGCGCUAGCUUCGGUGGAGGCGCUGGUGGGAUACCGCCCUGACUGUAUUGAAAUUCUAACCUACGGGUCUUAUCGACCCGGGAGACAGUGUCAGGUGGGCAGUUUGACUGGGGCGGUCGCCUCCUAAAGUGUAACGGAGGCGCCCAAAGGUUCCCUCAGAAUGGUUGGAAAUCAUUCGUAGAGUGCAAAGGCAUAAGGGAGCUUGACUGCGAGACCUACAAGUCGAGCAGGGACGAAAGUCGGGCUUAGUGAUCCGGUGGUUCCGCAUGGAAGGGCCAUCGCUCAACGGAUAAAAGCUACCCCGGGGAUAACAGGCUUAUCUCCCCCAAGAGUCCACAUCGACGGGGAGGUUUGGCACCUCGAUGUCGGCUCAUCGCAUCCUGGGGCUGUAGUCGGUCCCAAGGGUUGGGCUGUUCGCCCAUUAAAGCGGUACGCGAGCUGGGUUCAGAACGUCGUGAGACAGUUCGGUCCCUAUCCGUCGUGGGCGUAGGAAAUUUGAGAGGAGCUGUCCUUAGUACGAGAGGACCGGGAUGGACGCACCGCUGGUGUACCAGUUGUUCUGCCAAGGGCAUAGCUGGGUAGCUAUGUGCGGAAGGGAUAAGUGCUGAAAGCAUCUAAGCAUGAAGCCCCCCUCAAGAUGAGAUUUCCCAUAGCGUAAGCUAGUAAGAUCCCUGAAAGAUGAUCAGGUUGAUAGGUUCGAGGUGGAAGCAUGGUGACAUGUGGAGCUGACGAAUACUAAUAGAUCGAGGACUUAACCAU